GGAAACUGGAUGACUUGAGUGCAAAGAGGAAAGUGGAACACUUGGAAACAGAUGCUAAUACCGUAUAAACAAUGACAACCGCAUGGUUGUUAUUUAAAAGAUGGUUCUGCUAUCACUAAGAGAUGGUCCCGCGGCGCAUUAGCUAGUUGGUAAGGUAAUGGCUUACCAAGGCGAUGAUGCAUAGCCGACUUGAGAGGGUGAUCGGCCACAAUGGGACUGAGACACGGCCCAUACUCCUACGGGAGGCAGCAGUAGGGAAUCUUCCACAAUGGGCGAAAGCCUGAUGGAGCAACGCCGCGUGAGUGAAGAAGGGUUUCGGCUCGUAAAACUCUGUUGUAAGAGAAGAACGACAUUGAGAGUAACUGUUCAACCGUGACGGUAUCUUACCAGAAAGCCACGGCUAAAUACGUGCCAGCAGCCGCGGUAAUACGUAGGUUGCAAGCGUUAUCCGGAUUUAUUGGGCGUAAAGCGAGGGCAGGCGGUUUUUUAAGUCUGAAGUGAAAGCCCUCAGCUCACCUGAGAAAUUCUUU
rnacentral:rRNA from 1 species